CCAAAAACUAAUGGCCCAAAUACUACACUCCCAAUCUGUCGGUCGUCUCUCUCUCAUCUCUUCUCCAAAUUGAAUUUUUUCACCCUCAAAUUAAAUCUCAAACCCUAACUUCUCCAUCUCUCUUCCUCCUCUCGAUGACAUUGCAGGAAACUGCCCCUGUCGCGCCUCACGGAGGCGUCUGCCAUCUUCGACGCCACCUUCUUCCUCGGUGAAACGACCGCUGGCCGUCGUUCACUGCCGUCCCCAGCCGGCGCCUCGGCUGUGUAGCCGUCUGCCUCGCCGUCCCGGUGCCAUCGGAGCAGAGAAGAGGGGCGUCGCCUCUCGGGGAAAACGUCGUCAGGUUGGACUCGGGCUGCUGUCCGGCGUGAUUCGAGGCGCAUGCUUCGACAGCGGCUUCGCCGUCUCUCCUUCACGACAAAAGGAGCCCUUGUUUGGUUGUGUAACUGAAAGCUGCAGGGCUGUUGCUUUGUGCCAGGAAAAGAGAUCUCUAGUUUGCUUAUACAUUGGUUGACCUCCUGUAAAUUCUGUUGCUUGCUGGUGUUGCAGAGUGUACCGUUAGAGGCUGCAACAAUUUGUUAGGGACAGAGGUGCAGGGCUGUUGUGGCCGUGGCCUUUCCUUAGCUCGUAGCCGCUGUACAAGGGCGGAAAUGUAGGUUGCUGCAACCUCUACAGACUGCCCCAUUUGGUGAGUCUAUCUUACUCUUCCCGAAAGGUCCCGCUGCCUCUUUCCUCUUCCUAUGAAGCAUGUAUUUCUCUUUGACUUUGUUUUGCUAGCUUUCAUACUCGUCUUAUGCAUUCUCUUGGGUAUUGUUUCUCCUGAGUUGGUUAUCGAGAGGUUCGAGGGGCUAACCAUCUCCAGCGACCAGCACACCGUCUCGGCCCAACUCCCGUCGGUAGUCAAGCCGACGGCCGGUGCUAAAAGUGCCGGAGCUAGCUCUCUUUCCCCCUCGUAUUGUAAUAGAGUAGCUCCAUUUGUGAACAUUCUUUCUUCCCCAUGUAAUAGUUAGUUGACGUGUCAUUAGCUUGAAAUUCUUUAUACUAUAUUUAUUUUUAUUCAAGAAAUAAAAAUACUCUUUCAUUCUUCAUAAA